AUGACAUUACUUGCUACAUCGUGUCAUUAUUUGUUUAACAAUAACUAAGCUAAAUGGCAAUUCAGUAGCUUGUACAACCACCAUUAGCGACUAUAACUUGGAGUAGUCUCUCACAUUGUUGUGGAGGGAUUUUUGACCACUCUUCUUUACAGUGUUGCUUCAGUUCAUCGAGGUUUGAAGACAUUCGUUUACACGCAGCUCUCUGAAGGUCCCACCAAAGCAUUGCAGUCAGGCUUGAGGUGUAUGCUUUGACGGGUUCAUUUCAACACCUUAAUUCUUUUCUUUUUCAGACAUUCUGUUGUAGGAUUGCUGCUGUGCUUGGGAUCAUUGUUGCAUCACCAAAUUUCUGCCAAUCUGUUGCUGUCUGAAGGCCUCACACAGAAAGAUCCCAGCCAGAUGGCCUGUGGAGUCUGAGAUGGAGCCCUUUCUCUGAGCAUUUCACGACUUUACUUGGACGUCCAUCCCUGGGAAGACUGGCAGCUGUAAAUGAUCUUCUGCUUAGACCGAUGGGCAGCAAUUGCCUCUCUAAGAGCAAUGCCGAUGACAGUUAAGUGUGCGUUAACACCAGACCACCAGACUUAGCUGCACACACUUGCUGAUGAUCAAUUAAUCAAUAAAGUGCAUUUGAUUUCCUUCUA